GUCGUGAGAUGUUGGGUUAAGUCCCGCAACGAGCGCAACCCUUGCCAUUAGUUGCUACAUUUAGUUGGGCACUCUAAUGGGACUGCCGGUGACAAACCGGAGGAAGGUGGGGAUGACGUCAAGUCCUCAUGGCCCUUAUGGGUAGGGCUACACACGUCAUACAAUGGCGCAUACAGAGGGCAGCCAACCCGCGAGGGGGAGCUAAUCCCAGAAAGUGCGUCGUAGUCCGGAUUGUAGUCUGCAACUCGACUACAUGAAGUCGGAAUCGCUAGUAAUCGCGGAUCAGCAUGUCGCGGUGAAUACGUUCCCGGGCCUUGUACACACCGCCCGUCACACCAUGGGAGUGGGUUCCACCAGAAGCCGUUAGCCUAACCGCAAGGGGGGCGACGACCACGGUGAGAUUCAUGACUGGGGUGAAGUCGUAACAAGGUAGCCGUAUCGGAAGGUGCGGCUGGAUCACCUCCUUUCUAGAGAAAGCUGACCUCAGUGUCCACAACCUAUCGGUUGUUUGUAGAGCAGGAUUGAAGAUCCAGGAUUGAGGAUUUGGGGUUGACACGUUUUUGCACUCAAUCCUCGGUCCGCGAUCCCGGAUCCUGGUAAUAGGGUCUGUAGCUCAGUUGGUUAGAGCACACGCUUGAUAAGCGUGGGGUCGGUGGUUCAAGUCCACCCAGACCCACCAAUAAUCAUCGGGGGUGUAGCUCAGUUGGGAGAGCACCUGCUUUGCAAGCAGGGGGUCGUCGGUUCGAUUCCGGUCACCUCCACCAAUCGCUCCGUAGAGAUCAGACGUAAGCCGGAAGGGCUUACGUCUGGUCUUUGGCCAGUAGGCUGUUUGCUCAUUAACAAUUCGGAAGAAGUAAGUGUGUCGAUCGAAAGAUCGACGCACGGGUUGUGAUUGCAUUAACCAGGUUUCACUCUCAGUCGGGUGAAACCGGGCACAAGCGCGAAUUUCCUGUAACCCGCUUUCGGCCUAACCGACCGUAGGCGGCAAGGUUAUAGGGUCAAGCGAAUAAGUGCAUGUGGUGGAUGCCUUGGCGAUCACAGGCGAUGAAGGACGUAGUAGCUUGCGAAAAGCUUCGGGGAGCCGGCAAACAGGCUUUGAUCCGAAGAUGU
rnacentral:sRNA from 1 species